rnacentral:lncRNA from 1 species
CGAUCAAUACUUCAUUGGUAGUUAAUACAAAUGAAAACGGCUAUAAAGCGCCUCCUGAAGUCAUUCAGACAGCUGCUAGGUCGCAGAAUGCAAGCAAACCCUUAGAAUUGCGCUGGACCUCAAGCAAUGCAAGCGAUCAGUUCUUUAUGUAUUUGUACUUUGCCGAAGUUGAGCAGAUUCAGAGAAACGUUUCAAGAAAAUUCAACAUAUCAUGGAAUGGAUCUCAAAUCUCCUAGCCUUUUAGUCCGCGCUAUCUCUAUGCAGCCACGACAUCUAACUCAAAAGCCUUGGUGGGAGGUGAACAUCGAAUUGUGAUCUAUAAAAUAGCUGAUUCGACUCCCGCCCGUAUUGAAUACUGUUAAGAUCUACAAGGCAAGGUUGCUAGAUGAAUUGCUAACAAACAGUGAAGAUGAUAUGUUAUUUUCUCUUAGUGUUCGAAAUUUCGAUUCUGCAUAGCCUAUAAGCAUAUUGGAAUCAGUAACGAGGAAUAGUCUCAAGGGAUGGUCAAGUUUGCUCUAGCGAAAGCAAUUGAGGUUGAACUUGCUUGAGAUGUGAAAAGAAAUGAAGAGGGAAAAAAACUGCAUGCUACCGCAGGAAUCUCAGAAUCAGUACUUAUGUUGAGGCAAUUUCAUGGCUGUUAGUAUAUGCUUAAACUAGAUAUGAAAGUCUACACACUUUCUGUCUACUUCAUCGCAUCCGAUACAAUAUACAAUCAAUGCUUUGCUCAGUGUCGAAACAACAUAUCAAAUAAAGAAGAACUGGGCGGGCGAUCCAUGUGGGCCGAAGAAGUACCCAUGGGAAGGGCUCGCAUGUCACUACGGCCGUUCGAUUCUUCCUCAAGUAAUCUACCGGUGAGUUCUUGCGGCACAUUUGGUCUGGCACACAUUAACCAGCUUAGGUGCAAAUUUUAGCCUCAGGAUGUCUUCUAUGAUGUAUGCAGGAACUCAAGCUCGAGCAAAUUGAAUGGGGCAAUUACUGCUGCUUUGGUAGAACUUUCGUCAUUGGAAUCCUUGUGAGCGUACUAAGAUUUCCAUAUGGCUCGGCCAUAAUAUGCCACCGAUUUCUAGAAAUAAGUGAAUUUUUUCUUUUGUUCUUCUUACUUGUUGCGACUGCCUGCCAACUGCCAGCCACCGCCCAACCAAUGGCGACCAUCGUCGCUACUGCUUGACCAGUGGCAACCAUCAUCGCCGCGGCUGCCUGAUCGUCAUCGCUGCCGCCCACAGCCCAUUGGCCACCCCCGAUCGUCGACGACUACCACUGACUGCCGGUAGCCUGCUGCCACCGCCAAUCGCCGCCACCCGACCAUCAGCAGCCUGCCAUCGCUACCAACCACUGCUAGCCGCCACUCGGCACCGCACAACUAUCGCCCGUUGACCAUUGCCACACGACCGCUGCCCACAGCCCACCAACUGUCCUCCUAUGGUUGCCCGUUCGUUGAAGGCAAACGGCCAUUGACGGUCGACGGUGGCUGAUGGGCUCUCGACAAUUGUCAUGCGGCGAUGAUCGAUGUGCGGUGGUCGUGCGGCAGUCGUGCAGUUGGCAUGUGGCGGUCCUGCGGCAACCGUGCAAUGGCUAUGCAAUGGCCGUGCGACGACCGUGCGAUGGUCGUGUGGUCGGCGUGCAGCAAAGGCGGACGGCCAUCAGCAGUUGGCAGCGGCCAAUGGGUUGUGGGCGGCAAUUGUGUGGCAAUCGUGUGGUUGUGCAGUGGAGGCAGACAACCGCCGACGAUUGGCAAUGGUCGAUGGGCUGUGGGCGAUGGUCGUGUGGCGAUGGUCAAUGGUGAUGGUCAGCAGGCGGUGGUCAUGCAGCGACGAUCAACAGUGAUGGUCAGCAGGCGGCGAUCAUGCGGUCGGCGUGCAGCGGUCGUGCGAUCGGCGUGCAGCGGUCAUGCGGUGCCGAGCGAUAGAGGCGGGCAGUAGUCGAUGGUUUGUGAGCAAGAAUAAAUAAAUAAAUAAAUACAAAAAAUAAAAAAUCGUACCAAAUGCAUUUCUAUUCCUUUUCUAUUUCAAAAUUAGAAAUUUUAUAUAAUUACCAAAUACAUUAUUUUACUCAAAAAUUAUUCCCGGAGUAAAAAUAGAAAAUAAUUAUUUCUAAAAAGAAACUGUUUCCCAAAGUAGAAGCGUUAUAAUGCACACCCCAAGCGGCUCACGUUUUCUUCUAAUUUCUAUUUGAUUGAGGAAUGGAACCUGUUCCUACAAGUUGUUGCGUGAUUUUACAUGAAUUCUUCUGGUGCUCGACGAUUGGUAGGCAGAACAUGUUAGAAUAGGCUAGUGAAAAACGCGUCGUUAUAUUCACGGUUAAAGAUCAUCUGGAGCUCUUUCUUCUGACUGUCUACAAAUGCUCUGCUCUGAUUUGUUUGAAAUAGGCUUCAUAAGCAUAUACUGCGGCGCGCCUGCAAAAUUCAAGUACAUCGACCAGCACAACGAAAUUAGUUAUGAGUCUGAUGGAGCUUACACCGACACCGAAACAAACAGGAACAUCUCCUCUGACUAUGCAUACCCGAACAACCCCAAUCUGCCUCAGCCGCUUUCGGAUCUCCACAGCUUUCCUCAAGGAAACAAGAAUCGUUACACCUUAAGACCUGCUACGGAUAAUGCCAACUUAUAUUUAAUAAGAGCUAGUUUCUAUUAUAGAUGAAGUCAAAUAUUUGUUUUUAGGGGUUUUUUUGUCUUUUCUAUCAUUUUUGCUUUUAGGUUAAAAGUGAUACCUUUAUAUUAGUGAUGGCAAGAUCCUAGCCGUCAAGACGCUAAAAAGGAAAUAGAGAGGCAAGAAAAAAAGUGAGAAAAAAAGUGAGUUUUUUUUCUUGAUGGGGGUUCUCAAUCUUUAGGUGCCCUGAUAUUGAGAAAAGAUCAUCGUUGUAUUCCAAAUUUUUUCAAAAUCUAGUGGAUUCGCAAAGUGCCUCUGCGCGAAGAUGUAGCCCAGGUUUGGGUGAACUUCGAUAACAAAUUUUAUGGUGUAUUCACUUGAUUCUGUUCUUUUAUUACUAUAUUUUGUCUGGUGAAUUGUUUGCAAGCGUUAUUUUUUGUGGAAUCGACGUGCGAUUUCAUAACAACUGGUAUUAAAGCCUGGGUUGGCUAAUCGAGAACAUCGAGAGUUUUUCGGUGACGUUCAAUUGAAAGCAAACAAUAUGGCAGAAGAUAAAAUCAGAAUCGAUAAGUUCAAUGGGGAGGAUUUCGGAUGGUAGAAACUACAAAUAGAGGAUUAUCUUUAUCAAAAAGAUCUCUAUGCACCACUUGAGGGUUGGAAACUCGAGAUGGCUGAAGUGGAUCUGACAGCAGAAGCCGGAUGGAAAAUUCUUGAUCGAAAGGCAUUAGGUGCGAUUCAUCUAGGGUUGACGAAAAAGACAAGGUACCACAUCGUGAAAGCAAAAACUGCAAAACAAGCCAUGGAUAUUCUAACGAAUAUUUAUGAAAAGUCGUCCACAUCAAAUCAGGUAUUUUUGCUUAAGAAACUGGUUAAUAUGAAGUUAUCUGAUAGAAGUUCUGUGGCAGAGUAUAUUAAUAGUUUCACGCAGGUCACGGGUCAAUUGGAAUCUGCAGGCAUAAAUUUAUAUAUGAAGCUUCAAGCUUUAUUAUUUUUAUGUUCUCUUCCAGAAAGCUACAAUACCGCAGUGCAGGGAAUUUCGAGCACCAUGAAGGAUGACUUAAUUCUUGAUGAUGCUGUGAGUAGUAUCAUGGAUGAAGAGAUGUGAAGGAAAGUCUCGGGUGGAGAUAAUUUUUCUGUAUCUACAUCUUCAACGGCACUCGCAGUGGAGAACCGUCGAAGAAGUAAAAGUAGAGGAAAAUUCAGCGAGCAUGGCAGGUCACAAUCAAGGGGUAAGAGACAGGUUGCAAAAGAUGAGUGUUGGUUUUGUCAUAAAAUCGGACAUUGGAGGUUUCAGUGUGAAGCCUACGAAAAGAAGUAGCACGAUGAGAAUCAAUGAUCUAAUGUGAUUAGUGAUGAAUCUUUGCUAGAUAACUUGUGUUUGUCUACAGGGUUUGACUUGACAAUAGAUAAAUGGUUUAUUGAUUCGGGUGCUUCUUUUCAUUGCACCUCGCAAAGAGACAUUUGAUGAUUAUGUCAGUGGAGAUUUCGGACAAGUAGUUGUGGGAAAUGGCCAUAUAUGUCCCAUUGUUGGGAAAUGAACCGUGAUUGUGAACAUCUCAGGUGGAGGACGUCUAGUUUUGCGUGAAACUAGGCAUAUUCCGGAAUUAAAGAAAAAUCUAAUUUCAACCAAUAAACUUAACCAAGAAGGUUUGGUAAUAACCUUUGAAUGCGGAGAGUGGAAGAUAACCUCAGAGGCAAGAGUAGUAGCAAAGGGAAAGCGUAUAGGUACACUUUACCUUCUCUAAGGAGAAAAUAUCAGUGAUAUGAUUGUAACUACAAUGGCUACAGGUAAUUUGUCUACUCUUUGGUAUUAUCGUUUGGGACAUCUUGGUGAAAAAUGUAUAAAGCAGUUACACUUGAGGAAAUUACUUCUAGGUUUGUAAAAAGUUGAGUUAGAUUUUUGUGAGAGUUGCAUGUAUAGGGACCUGCUCAAGAACUCUCUUAUUGCAGUAAGAAAUAUUUUGUCACCUUCAUUGAUGAUGCGACAAGAAAGACUUGGGUCUAUGUUCUUAGAGAAAAUUCAGAAGUAUUUGAGAUAUUCAAAAUGUGGAAGACCAUGGUAGAAAAAGAGACAGGUUAUCAGAUUAGAGCUCUGAAAUCUGAUAAUGGUGGUGAAUACACGAGUAAGGAAUUUGCAAAAUUUUUUAGUCGAGAGGGCAUACAUGGAUUAAAGACUGUUUCUAGAACUCCUCAAGAGAACGAUGUAGCUAAAAGAAUGAAUAGGACUAUUCUAGAACGUGCGAGAUGCAUGAGACUACACGUGGGUCUCCCGCUACACUUAUGGGCCGCCACGGUUGAUGCAGCUGUUAUCUUAUCAACAGAAGUCUAUCUAAUUCGUUGGAUGGAGAAAUACCACAAGAACGGUGGUCAGGUAAAAAGAUUAAUUAUUCUCAUCUAAAGGUGUUUGGUUGUAUUGUAUAUGCUUUGAUUGACAAGAAGGAUAGAAAAAAGCUUGAUGCUAAGUCCCAGAAGUGCAUCUUUAUCGGAUACGGUGGUGAUGAGUAUGGCUAUAGGCUUUGGGAUUAUGAGAAUAAUAAAGUCAUCCGCAGUCGCAAUGUGGUAUUCCAUGAAGAAAAUAUGCAUAAAGAUCGGCAGACAGAGCAUGAAAAGGUAGUAGAACCAGAGUAUGUUGAAUUAGACACAAUGCCUGUGAAGAUGUUUCAAGUAGAUCAAAGUGCACUUGAAAGAGAGGUUCAAGAUGAGCCUAUUAUUAGUGAAGAUGUAGUUCAAGAGGAACGCAAUGAUUCGGAGCAAACUAACAACCUUGAAGUACCUGUCUUAAGGAGGUCUACACAUGUGAGAAAGCCAAAGGUAAUUUUUGAUCCAUCAGCUAAUACUAUUCAAAGCCAUGUCUUAUAUACAAAUUCAGGAGAACCGGAGACUUAUGAUGAGGCAAAGGCAGACACGUCUCACUUGCAGUGGGAGUGUGCUAUGAAAGACGAGAUGAGCUCGUUACUUCAGAAUAAAACUUGGGAGUUAACCAAGUUGCCCACAAGUAAAAAAGUUUUAUUAAACAAAUAAGUGUACAUGAUUAAGAAUGAAGCGGAUGGUAGUAUUAUAUACAAUGCGAGACUUGUAGUCAAGGGCUUUUCUCAAAAAGAAGGGAUCGACUACUCUGAGAUAUUUUCACCUGUAGUGAAAAUGACAUUAAUUAGAGUUCUGCUGAGUAUAGUUGCAGUGGAGGAUCUUCAUCUUGAGCAGUUAGACGUAAAAAUAGCGUUUUUACACGGUGACUUAGAUGAAGAACUAUACAUGGCACAACCUAAAGAUUUUGAAGUCAAAGGUAAUGAGCACAUGGUAUGUUGCUUGAAGAAAAGUUUGUUUGGCUUGAAACAAGCUAUGCGGCAGUGGUACCUAAAAUUUGAUGGUUUUAUGAAUGAAAAAGGAUUUGCACACUGUGAAUCUAAUCAUUGUGUUUAUUUUCGCAAAUAUGAUGAUGGUGACAUUAUGUAUCUCUCUUUAUAUGUGGAUGACAUGCUAGUGGCUAGUUCUAAUAUGAAGAGAAUCGUAAAUGUGAAAAAGAUGUUAUCAUCACAGUUUGCUAUGAAAGACUUGGGAGAGGCCAAGAAUAUUUUGGGCAUGAAAAUCAUCAGGGAUAGGAAAAAUAAAAAAUUAUGGUUGUCGCAGGAAGACUAUGUGAACGAGGUGUUAAAGAGAUUUAACAUGAACAAGGCAAAAUCGGUUGCAACUCCUCUAACGAGUCACUUCAAACUUUCCAAGGAUAUGUAUCCAAGCGCUCAGGCUUUGAAAGAUGAGAUGGCGAUAGUUCCAUAUGCAUCAGCAAUUGGGAGUUUGAUGUAUGCCAUGGUAAGCACGAGACCAGAUAUUACACAUGUAGUGAGAGUUGUGAGUCGAUAUAUGCAGAACCUAAGCAGAGAGCAUUGGAAUGCAAUAAAAUGGAUAUUGAGAUAUCUAGCAGGUACUUCCAAUUACUCACUUUGUUAUGGUGGUACAUCUCUAGAGUUGUAGGGUUAUACAAAUGCAAAUCAUUCAGGUGAUCGAGAUAGUGGUAAGAGUUUCACUGGAUAUGUCUUUACAGUUGCAGGUACAACAGUGAGUUGGGUAUCUCAAUUACAAAAAGUAGUAGCUUUAUCGACGAUAGAAGCAUAAUACGUGGCGAUCACAGAAGCCUCCAAGGAAAUCAUGUGGUUACAAGAUUAUAUGGAGGAGUUACAUCGAAAACAGCCAGUCAGUACACUUUGGAGUGAUAGUCAAAGUGCAGUGCACUUAGCAAAGAAUGCAGCUUAUCACUCAAAGACUAGACAUAUCAAGAAGCGUUAUCAAGUCAGCAUUGAAAGAUAAUGAGUUAAAGCUACAGAAGAUUGAUGGCUCGAAAAAUCUAGCUGACAUGAUGACUAAGGUAGUAGACAGAGAGAAACAUAUUUUAUGUACUACUACCAUUGGCAUUACUCAAUGUUGAUUGAUGAGGAGUAUCGCAGAAGCACAAGUUUUUCAACUACUAUUUUUUGAAGAAAAUGGACGCAAAGUUGUUUGGUGCUUAGGUAUAUUUGUCUUCAAGUGGGAGAUUGUUAUAGAUGAAGUCAAAUAUUUGUUUUUAUGGGCUUUUUUGUCUUUUCUAUAAGAUUUGCUUUUAGGUUAAAAGUGAUACAUUUAUAUUAGCGAUGGCAAGACCCUAACCGUCAAGACGCUAAAAAAAGAAAUAAUGAGGCAAUAAGAAGAGAGAAGAAAAAAGUAACUUUUUUUUUUCUUGAUGGGGGUUCUCAAUCUUUUUGUGCCAUGAUCUUGAGAGAAGAUCAUCGUUAUAUUCCAACUUUUUUCGAAGUCUAGUAGAUUCGCAGAGUACCUCUGCGCAAAGAUGUAGCCCAGGGUUGAGUGAACUUCGAUAACAAAUUUUCUGGCGUAUUCAUCUGAUUUUGUUCUUUUAUUACUAUAUUAUGUUUGGUUAAUUGUUUGCAAGCGUUAUUUUUUGUGGAAUCGACAUGUGAUUUCGUAACAAUUUCUUUUAUGCAAACUAUGAUGGACUCAAUGAUCCACCUCAGUUCGAUCUUUAUCUCGAUGCCAAUCUCUGGUUAACAGUGAAAUUCAGCAAUACUUCUGACGUCGUGACUUCAGAGACUGUUAGUUUGCAUCUUCGGAGGCUAUUUAUGUUUGUCUCGUGAACAUUGGUGCAGGAGCUCCUUUCAUAUCGAUGUUGGAGCUUAGGCCACUGAACAGUUUGACAUACGACUCCGAAUAUGGGAAAUUUGUUUCAUUACUUCUCUUUCAAAGGUUGAAUGUUGGUUCAACCAAGGGAAGUGGUAGAUACAUAGAUGAUAUAUACGACCGCAUUUGGGCUCCUUAUGUUUCCCCUUCAUGGGAGGCGAUCAAUACUUCAUUGGCAGUUAAUACAAAUGAAAACGGCUAUAAAGCGCCUCCUGAAGUCAUUCAGACAGCUGCUAGGUCGCGGAAUGCGGGAAACCCUUGGAAUUGCGCUAGACCUCAAGCAAUGCAAGCAAUCAGUUCUUUGUGUACUUGUACUUUGCCGAAGUUGAGCAGCUUCAGAGAAACAUUUCAAGAAAAU